CAGGCAUACGUGAGCAGCAACGACAAAAGACAGCUUCCGCAGACUUAGAUCUUUGGAAGAAGCUUCGAAACAAAGAGAGAGAAAAAAAACUCAGCUACUAGAGCCAUCAACUCAAAAGCAAGAAAAAAGGAGAAAAAAAAAGAAAA